rnacentral:rRNA from 1 species
AGUGAACGCUGGCGGCAGGCCUAACACAUGCAAGUCGAGCGGCAGCGGGUCCUUCGGGCUGCCGGCGAGCGGCGGACGGGUGAGGAAUGCAUCGGAAUCUGCCCUGUCGUGGGGGAUAACCUAGGGAAACUUAGGCUAAUACCGCAUACGACCCACGGGUGAAAGCGGGGGAUCGCAAGACCUCGCGCGAUAGGAUGAGCCGAUGUCCGAUUAGCUAGUUGGCGGGGUAAAGGCCCACCAAGGCGACGAUCGGUAGCUGGUCUGAGAGGAUGAUCAGCCACACUGGGACUGAGACACGGCCCAGACUCCUACGGGAGGCAGCAGUGGGGAAUAUUGGACAAUGGGCGCAAGCCUGAUCCAGCCAUGCCGCGUGGGUGAAGAAGGCCUUCGGGUUGUAAAGCCCUUUUGUCCGGGAAGAAAUCGUCUGGGCUAAUACCCCGGGCGGAUGACGGUACCGAAAGAAUAAGCACCGGCUAACUUCGUG